CUAACAUAUUCUAACCCCAAACAACACUAGAUAAUUCAUUUACUUGUUCAACGCAAUGUUUCCGAGUUCUUAGCCCAUUUCGGACCCAAUUUGAACAAGUAUUUCUCCAUACUUGAAAACACUCUUUAUGCAUCUCUAGCACUUGUAAUCAAUCAAAUUUAUAGUUUUAUAACAUAUUCUAACCGCAUACAACACUAGAUAAGUCAUUUAGUGGUUCAACGCAAUGUUUCCGAGUUCUUAGCCCAUUUGGGUCCCAAUUUCAACAAGUUUUUCUACACAUUUCUAAACACUCUUCAUGCAUCUCUAGCACAUGUAAUCAAUCAAAGUUAUUGUAUUCUAACAUAUUCUAACCCCAAAUAACACUAGAUAACUAAUUUAGUUGUUCAACGCAAUGUUUUCGAGUUCUUAGCCCAUUUGGGACCCAAUUUCAACAAGUCUUUCUCCAUACUUCAAAACACUCUUCAUGCAUCUCUAGCACUUGUAAUCAAUCAAAUUCAUUUUAUUCUAACAUAUUCUAACCC
rnacentral:lncRNA from 1 species